rnacentral:rRNA from 1 species
CCUACGGGUGGCAGCAGUGGGGAAUAUUGGGCAAUGGGCGCAAGCCUGACCCAGCAACGCCGCGUGAGGGAAGAAGGCUUUCGGGUUGUAAACUUCUUUUGCCAGGGAUGAGUAGAAGACGGUACCUGACGAAUAAGCCACGGCGAACUACGUGACAGCAUCCGCGGUAAUACGUAGGUGGCAAGCGUUGUCCGGAGUUACUGGGUGUAAAGGGAGCGUAGACGGCUAGUCAAGUCAGAAGUGAAAGCCCAGGGCUCAACCUUGGGACUGCUUUUGAAACUGCGUAGCUAGAGUGCGGGAGGGGUGAGUGGAACUCCUAGUGUAGCGGUGAAAUGCGCAGAUAUUAGGAGGAACACCAGUGGCGAAGGCGGCUCACUGGACUGUAACUGACGCUGAGGCGCGAAAGCGUGGGGAGCAAACAGGAUUAGAUACCCCGGUAGUC